rnacentral:other from 1 species
GUUUCAACUAUCUUCUGAUUUCUGG